GGAGAAGGUAUAGCUCAGUGGUAGAAUGCCUGCCUAGGAUGCACAAGGUCCUGGGUUCAAUCCCCAGUACCUCCA